rnacentral:sRNA from 1 species
CCACAUCACUCCCCUCCGAGACUGGAGGUC